UAAUUCUAGAGCUAAUACAUGCUAAAAACCCCGACUUCGGGAGGGGUGUAUUUAUUAGAUAAAAAACCAAUGCCCUUCGGGGCUCUUUGGUGAUUCAUAAUAACUUAACGGAUCGCAUGGCCUUGCGCCGGCGACGGUUCAUUCAAAUUUCUGCCCUAUCAACUUUCGAUGGUAAGGUAUUGGCUUACCAUGGUUUCAACGGGUAACGGGGAAUUAGGGUUCGAUUCCGGAGAGGGAGCCUGAGAAACGGCUACCACAUCCAAGGAAGGCAGCAGGCGCGCAAAUUACCCAAUCCCGACACGGGGAGGUAGUGACAAUAAAUACUGAUACAGGGCUCUUUUGGGUCUUGUAAUCGGAAUGAGUACAAUUUAAACCCCUUAACGAGGAACAAUUGGAGGGCAAGUCUGGUGCCAGCAGCCGCGGUAAUUCCAGCUCCAAUAGCGUAUAUUAAAGUUGUUGCAGUUAAAAAGCUCGUAGUUGAACCUUGGGCCUGGCUGGCCGGUCCGCCUCACCGCGUGUACUGGUCCGGCCGGGCCUUUCCUUCUGGUGAGCCCCAUGCCCUUCACUGGGUGUGCGGGGGAACCAGGACUUUUACUGUGAACAAAUUAGAGUGUUCAAAGCAGGCCUUUGCUCGAAUACAUUAGCAUGGAAUAAUAGAAUAGGACGUGCGGUCCUAUUUUGUUGGUUUCUAGGACCGCCGUAAUGAUUAAUAGGGAUAGUCGGGGGCAUCAGUAUUCAAUUGUCAGAGGUGAAAUUCUUGGAUUUAUUGAAGACUAACUACUGCGAAAGCAUUUGCCAAGGAUGUUUUCAUUAAUCAGUGAACGAAAGUUAGGGGAUCGAAGACGAUCAGAUACCGUCGUAGUCUUAACCGUAAACUAUGCCGACUAGGGAUCGGGCGAUGUUUCUAUCUUGACUCGCUCGGCACCUUACGAGAAAUCA
rnacentral:rRNA from 1 species